AACGAACGCUGGCGGCGCGCCUAAUACAUGCAAGUCGAGCGAGAAGACGUAGCAAUACGUUUGUAAAGCGGCGAACGGGUGAGGAAUACAUGGGUAACCUACCCUCGAGUGGGGAAUAACUAGCCGAAAGGUUAGCUAAUACCGCGUACGCUCCUUGGACUUCGGUUCAGGGAGGAAAGCGAUACCGUGGGUAUCGCGCUCUUGGAUGGGGCUCAUGUCCUAUCAGCUUGUUGGUGAGGAACGGCUCACCAAGGCUUCGACGGGUAGCUGGUCUGAGAGGACGAUCAGCCACACUGGCACUGCGACACGGGCCAGACUCCUACGGGAGCAGCAGUAAGGAAUAUUGCGCAAUGGGCGAAAGCCUGACGCAGCGACGCCGCGUGGGGGA
rnacentral:rRNA from 1 species